rnacentral:rRNA from 1 species
UGCCAGCCGCCGCGGUAAUACGUGUGGGGCAAGCGUUGUUCGGAAUUACUGGGCUUAAAGGGUUCGUAGGCGGCCACUUAAGUCAGGGGUGAAAUCCCACGGCCCAACCGUGGAACGGCCUCUGAUACUGAGUGGCUUGAGUGUGCUAGGGGUAAGCGGAACGUGUAGUGUAGCGGUGAAAUGCGUAGAUAUUACACGGAAGGCCGGAGGCGAAGGCGGCUUUCUGGACCGAUACUGACGCUGAGACGCGAAAGCGUGGGGAGCAAACAGGAUUAGAUA